UCCGAGAUGGUCUAGUGGUCAUGAUUUCCGCUUGUCACUGGUUGAACCACAGUUUGACAGAACAAGCGCGGGAGACCGGGGUUCGAUUCCCCGUCUCGGAG